GAUAUGAACUGAGAACAGCUAGAGAUGACCCACUUUUUCUGUAAGGCAGGGUCACAGCUGAAGGGAGCAGAUCAGGACAAUGGGCUCUCCAGGCAUGGUCCCUUGUUCUGCCAGUUGGGACAUUCUGACAGUGGAUUCCUUCCCAGGCUUUCUUUGCUUAGGGCCUUGUCAAGAUCGCAUGGGAUCCAGUCUGCCCUGACUUGGAAAACUGGAAUUCCACCCGAGCUUGAGUCCAGAAUGGCAGCAAGGGCAUUCACCCUGACGGGUUACUGGAAGAAGAGCAUGAGAUAGAAGUGCGAAUCUGUGGCAUGCAAUGGGAAAGGAUUAUAUCCAGAUUCAAAGUUUGAUUUGAAACAGCUUGUGUUGGAGUUGUUUAUGGUCGGGAUGUAAGUCUCUCUUCUGAGAAAAAUAAUUUUAAGUGGAAAAAAAAUAAGUUGAGG
ensembl:antisense cytokine-dependent hematopoietic cell linker, opposite strand